rnacentral:rRNA from 1 species
GAUGAACGCUGGCGGCGUGCCUAAUACAUGCAAGUCGAGCGAACGGACGAGAAGCUUGCUUCUCUGAUGUUAGCGGCGGACGGGUGAGUAACACGUGGAUAACCUACCUAUAAGACUGGGAUAACUUCGGGAAACCGGAGCUAAUACCGGAUAAUAUUUUGAACCGCAUGGUUCAAAAGUGAAAGACGGUCUUGCUGUCACUUAUAGAUGGAUCCGCGCUGCAUUAGCUAGUUGGUAAGGUGACGGCUUACCAAGGCAACGAUGCAUAGCCGACCUGAGAGGGUGAUCGGCCACACUGGAACUGAGACACGGUCCAGACUCCUACGGGAGGCAGCAGUAGGGAAUCUUCCGCAAUGGGCGAAAGCCUGACGGAGCAACGCCGCGUGAGUGGUGAAGGUCUUCGGAUCGUAAAACUCUGUUAUUAGGGAAGAACAUAUGUGUAAGUAACUGUGCACAUCUUGACGGUACCUAAUCAGAAAGCCACGGCUAACUACGUGCCAGCAGCCGCGGUAAUACGUAGGUGGCAAGCGUUAUCCGGAAUUAUUGGGCGUAAAGCGCGCGUAGGUGGUUUUUUAAGUCUGAUGUGAAAGCCCACGGCUCAACCGUGGAGGGUCAUUGGAAACUGGAAAACUUGAGUGCAGAAGAGGAAAGUGGAAUUCCAUGUGUAGCGGUGAAAUGCGUAGAGAUAUGGAGGAACACCAGUGGCGAAGGCGACUUUCUGGUCUGUAACUGACGCUGAUGUGCGAAAGCGUGGGGAUCAAACAGGAUUAGAUACCCUGGUAGUCCACGCCGUAAACGAUGAGUGCUAAGUGUUAGGGGGUUUCCGCCCCUUAGUGCUGCAGCUAACGCAUUAAGCACUCCGCCUGGGGAGUACGACCGCAAGGUUGAAACUCAAAGGAAUUGACGGGGACCCGCACAAGCGGUGGAGCAUGUGGUUUAAUUCGAAGCAACGCGAAGAACCUUACCAAAUCUUGACAUCCUUUGACAACUCUAGAGAUAGAGCUUUCCCCUUCGGGGGACAAAGUGACAGGUGGUGCAUGGUUGUCGUCAGCUCGUGUCGUGAGAUGUUGGGUUAAGUCCCGCAACGAGCGCAACCCUUAAGCUUAGUUGCCAUCAUUAAGUUGGGCACUCUAAGUUGACUGCCGGUGACAAACCGGAGGAAGGUGGGGAUGACGUCAAAUCAUCAUGCCCCUUAUGAUUUGGGCUACACACGUGCUACAAUGGACAAUACAAAGGGCAGCGAAACCGCGAGGUCAAGCAAAUCCCAUAAAGUUGUUCUCAGUUCGGAUUGUAGUCUGCAACUCGACUACAUGAAGCUGGAAUCGCUAGUAAUCGUAGAUCAGCAUGCUACGGUGAAUACGUUCCCGGGUC